GUGAUUGUAGCCAAGUGGUUAAGGCAUCGGAUUGUGACUCCGACAUCGCGAGUUCGAUUCUCGUCAAUCACCCCA
rnacentral:tRNA from 1 species